rnacentral:rRNA from 1 species
UCAGGAAGANCACCGGUGGCGAAGGCGGGUCUCUGGGCCGUUACUGACGCUGAGGAGCGAAAGCGUGGGGAGCGAACAGGAUUAGAUACCCUGGUAGUNCACGCCGUAAACGUUGGGCACUAGGUGUGGGGGGCCUUUUCCGGGUUUUCCGCGCCCUAGCUAACGCAUUAAGUGCCCCGCCUGGGGAGUACGGCCGCAAGGCUAAAACUCAAAGGAAUUGACGGGGGCCCGCACAAGCGGCGGAGCAUGCGGAUUAAUUCGAUGCAACGCGAAGAACCUUACCAAGGCUUGACAUGUGCCGGUCGGCUCCGGAGACGGGGUUUCCUCCUUGUGGGGCCGGUUCACAGGUGGUGCAUGGUUGUCGUCAGCUCGUGUCGUGAGAUGUUGGGUUAAGUCCCGCAACGAGCGCAACCCUUGUCCCGUGUUGCCAGCACGUUGUGGUGGGGACUCGCGGGAGACUGCCGGGGUCAACUCGGAGGAAGGUGGGGAUGACGUCAAAUCAUCAUGCCCCUUAUGUCUUGGGCUUCACGCAUGCUACAAUGGCCGGUACAGAGGGCUGCGAUACCGUGAGGUGGAGCGAAUCCCUUAAAGCCGGUCUCAGUUCGGAUCGGUGUCUGCAACUCGACACCGUGAAGUUGGAGUCGCUAGUAAUCGCAGAUCAGCAACGCUGCGGUGAAUACGUUCUCGGGCCUUGUACACACCGCCCGUCACGUCAUGAAAGUCGGCAACA